CACUCCUACGGGAGGCAGCAGUGGGGAAUAUUGGACAAUGGGCGCAAGCCUGAUCCAGCCAUGCCGCGUGAGUGAUGAAGGCCCUAGGGUUGUAAAGCUCUUUCACCGGAGAAGAUAAUGACGGUAUCCGGAGAAGAAGCCCCGGCUAACUUCGUGCCAGCAGCCGCGGUAAUACGAAGGGGGCUAGCGUUGUUCGGAAUUACUGGGCGUAAAGCGCACGUAGGCGGAUCGAUCAGUCAGGGGUGAAAUCCCAGGGCUCAACCCUGGAACUGCCUUUGAUACUGUCGAUCUGGAGUAUGGAAGAGGUGAGUGGAAUUCCGAGUGUAGAGGUGAAAUUCGUAGAUAUUCGGAGGAACACCAGUGGCGAAGGCGGCUCACUGGUCCAUUACUGACGCUGAGGUGCGAAAGUGUGGGGAGCAAACAGGAUUAGAUACCCUAGUAGUCCCA
rnacentral:rRNA from 1 species